rnacentral:rRNA from 1 species
AUUGAACGCUGGCGGCAGGCCUAACACAUGCAAGUCGAACGAGUGGCGGACGGGUGAGUAAUGUCUGGGAAACUGCCUGAUGGAGGGGGAUAACUACUGGAAACGGUAGCUAAUACCGCAUACCAUCGGAUGUGCCCCUAUGGGAUUAGCUAGUCGGUGGGGUAAAGGCUCCACUAGGCGACGAUCCCUAGCUGGUCUGAGAGGAUGACCAGCAACACGGGAACUGAGACACGGUCCAGACUCCUACGGGAGGCAGCAGUAGGGAAUAUUGCACAAUGGGCGCAAGUCUGAUGCAGCAAUGCCGCGUGUAUGAAGAAGGUCUUCGGGUCGUAAAGUACUUUCAGCGGGGAGGCGUUACCCGAAGAAGAAGCACCGGCUAACUCCGUGCCAGCAGCCGCGGUAAUAC